rnacentral:sRNA from 25 species
GCUAUACACCAAACAGUGGACAAAACUGGACAACCAGUUCGGUUACUGGAGAUAUAGCCAGAUUUAGUCCCCAGGGGCUACGUUAGAACGGUCAAGAUACCAGGUUUGGGUGCUUUCCAGCCUACUGCUCUAUC